CAAGGGCCCUGUCCAUUCCCAUAUCAAGAUGAAUAUUAUUUCCUUCGGCCAGGCCAUGUCGUUAUGGAAGAUACCUGGUCUUUCAGACUUCCUGAGAUUUACACAUCUACCACUUUCCUUGACAUAUACUUAUGAUCUGCUAUGCAGACUGGCUGAAUGUCAUUCCCAUCCCUGGACUCCUUCCUUCUCCUUUCCUUUCGGAGCAACCCAGGGCACAGAUGGAUACAGAGGCUGUGGUGUUUUCAAGGUUGCAGCAUGUUCCAAGACUAUGGCUUCAUGAAGGAACAGAAAAACCUCCUUAGGGACUCCAGGAAGAGCAGGGAAGGCUUGUGGAUGCAGUAACUUUCCUUGAAGACCGCCUGCUUUGGAUCCCACGUGAAAAUACCAUUAAGCCUUCAGAGAAGGGGCUUGGGGAUGGCAAUCAAUUUGGGACUCAUUUACGGCUGUUGCAGAGCUUUGAAGGGCUCAUUGCUCCCUCCACCAUUACUGAAUAGGCAAGACAGGGGGAAAUACUAUCUGUGUCAUUCCUUCUUUAUUAAAUAAAAUACAAAUAGGAAGCA
rnacentral:lncRNA from 1 species